UGGGUGCGCGGGGCUGCCGCGGGGCGGCGGGACCGUGCUCGCCUCUGGCUUUUCGUCUCCAUUCCGACAUCGUGCACAUCUCCGGUGCAUGAAAAAGCUGUGGGAGAAAAUGGAUUUUGUGAGUUUGCUGCUUCUUUUCUUCUCGGCAGUGGCUGUGAGCAGAGCUCAGGUGCAGCAAGAUCCGUCGGCAGAGACCAGCGAGGGCAUCGGCAUCAACAUCACCUGUUCACACCCCAGUAUAGUGUCCAGCGACUCCAUCCACUGGUACCGCCAGCUCCCUGGCCGAGGACCCGCAUUCCUCGUCAGCGCCGUUAAAGGCUCCAAGGAGGUUCCGGACCUGGAGGGGCGGCUGUGGGUGUCGGCAGACCGCCGCUCCAGCUCCCUGUGGCUCGCCCGGCCCCGGCUCGGCGACGCGGCCGUGUAUUACUGCGCCGUGGGCGCACGGGAAUCGAAGCCGGGGCUGCGGUCGGGCACGAACCGCUUUGGGCGGGGCGGGGGCACAGUGCCGUCCGGGCCCGAAGGGGGCGCUGCCUGCACGGCAGCCAAACUCCUGGCAUCCUGA